AAAAGUGAAGUUACAUAGUGCAAAUCGUCUACCGAUACAUGUGCGAUGUGAAGGAGUGUAAGUGUGAAUCAUAAUAGAACAGAAUAGUCAAGUGUCAUCGAUUGCAGAAUCCAGAACUCGAUCGUCCACUGGGAUAUUGAAUGUAAGCCACGUGUUUGAGAGCGGAGAACAAAAAUUGAGAAGGAAAUCGGAAGUGUCAAUAGAUGAAGGAAUCAAGAUGGAUAUCAUAUUUGAAAAUUUACAGUGGUCUUCAUGCCGUAAUCUCAAGGUACAAAAUCUGAUAAUUUCAACCAGAGGGGAGGAAUUGAAAUAUGAGUGAAAUUCAGCAAUAUUUACAAGAAGGAUAAGAGCAGCAAAGAUAUUCCAUUACAGAGGAAUUUUUCACGUAUAAAUAUAAAUUUGAACAUGAUAUUGUAACUCAC